rnacentral:rRNA from 1 species
GUCUAUGGUUAUACCACCCUGUACGUGCCUGAUCUCAUCUGAUUUUGGAAGCUAAGCAAGAUCAGGCCUGGUUGGAUGGGAGACCGCCUGGGAGUAUCAGGUGCUAUAGGUU